rnacentral:rRNA from 1 species
GUGUCAGCCGCCGCGGUAAAACGUAGGGGGCGAGCGUUGUCCGGAAUUACUGGGCGUAAAGCGCGUGUAGGCGGAAACUUAAGUCAGGUGUGAAAACUCGGGGCUCAACCCCGAGCCGGCAUCUGAAACUGGGUUUCUUGAGGAUGGGAGAGGAAAGUGGAAUUCCUAGUGUAGCGGUGAAAUGCGUAGAUAUUAGGAGGAACACCAGUGGCGAAGGCGGCUUUCUGGACCAUGCCUGACGCUGAGACGCGAAAGCGUGGGGAGCAAACAGGAUUAGAUACCCUGGUAGUCCACGCCGUAAACGAUGGGUACUAGGUGUAGGAGGUAUCGACCCCUUCUGUGCCGCAGCUAACGCAUUAAGUACCCCGCCUGGGGAGUACGGCCGCAAGGUUGAAACUUAAAGAAAUUGACGG